rnacentral:misc_RNA from 1 species
UAACCACUCAAGCUCUCGCUUGGUAUUGGGGUUCGCGGUUUCGCGGCUCCUAAAAUCAGUGGCGGUGCCUGUCGGCUCUACGCGUAGUAAUACUCCUCGCGUCUGGGUCCGGUAGGUCUACUUGCCAACAACCCCCAAUUUUUACA